rnacentral:rRNA from 1 species
CCUACGGGUGGCAGCAGUGGGGGAUAUUGGACAAUGGGGGGAACCCUGAUCCAGCGACGCCGCGUGAGUGAAGAAGUAUCUCGGUAUGUAAAGCUCUAUCAGCAGGGAAGAAGAAAUGACGGUACCUGAGUAAGAAGCUCCGGCUAAAUACGUGCCAGCAGCCGCGGUAAUACGUAUGGAGCAAGCGUUAUCCGGAUUUACUGGGUGUAAAGGGAGAGUAGGUGGCAGAGCAAGUCCGAAGUGAAAACCCAAAGCUCAACUAUGGGAAUGCUUUAGAAACUGCUCAGCUAGAGUGCAGGAGAGGCAAGUGGAAUUCUUAGUGUAGCGGUGAAAUGCGUAGAUAUUAGGAGGAACACCAGUGGCGAAGGCGGCUUGCUGGACUGUAACUGACACUGAGGCUCGAAAGCGUGGGGAGCAAACAGGAUUAGAUACCCUGGUAGUC